AUACUUACCUGGCAGGGGAGGUACCAUGAUCACGAAGGCAGUUUUCCCAGGACGAGGCUUAUCCAUUGCACUCCGGAUGUGCUGACCCCUGCGAUUUCCCCGGGAAACUCGACUGCAUAAUUUGUGGCAGUGGGGGACUGCAUUCGCACUUUCCCCUA
ensembl:snRNA U1 U1 spliceosomal RNA